UUUAGUAGAACAUAGGGACAGCACUGGCUUCGGUCAGGAAAUGGCACAGCUUGGCAUUUUAAGUAGGUAAAGUCAGUAUAGAUGAUGCAGAUUGUCAAGCCCAGCUGUGUAAGCUCUGUGUAAUAUGACUUCGUAGUACAUGCUUACCCAUUCUAGCAGUAUACAUCCCUAGAAUGUUUGAUCUUCAACACAGCAACGGGGCUGAAAGGCUGACGCCCAACUGAUUUGAUUCUUACAGUUUGAUUUUAGUCACCUGGCUCAGAGACCAGUCUGUUCUCGAUACUCAAAAUUCCUGUGGCAUCUCCUGCCCUUACAGAGAUGGGACUCUUCAAUUUCAGCACUGGAUAAGGGCACGUGCAUUCAGGCUGCCAGGGCUGGUGUGCUUAGAGGACAUGGAAAACCUCACUUUGCUGACAUGAAUAUAAAGGUUGUUGGAAAGCUAAGUGCCUAUCACCCACCUGCAGAGAGCAGGUCACUGUGAGCUCUGAUGAUCUCAGCAGGAAAUGGAGUGGGAGAAAAGAGGAAGGAGUGUUUUUAGUUCUUUUUCUUAUCUCUCUGUUCUCCUACUUUCCUUUAUCUCCAGGCCCUGUUUGUUUUUCCUAGUUGCAUGCAAUAACUCCCCCAGUCUGUUGUGUUUUCCCCCUGAGCCCUCCAGGUGUGAAUGGAAAACGUAAGCACCUGCUGAACUGACUGGCAAGAAGGAAGCAAGGAGGGGAGCUUAUCUCUACUCAGCAAAAGCUUUUUUUCAACAGUGCUCAUUUUACUUCUGUGAUGUGAUUGAUUGAGAACUUCAUCUGGCUCUUAAGGAUGCAUUUCCUUUGUCUUCAAAAGUCCAGAAGGAGAUCUCAGCUCCCCAGGGCCAUGAUCAGGGCAGGGACAAGUUUUCUUACAGUCUCCAGAAGGUCUCAUCUGGAGUCUUCACUAUCUGACUGAUUCGCCACUGAGAACUCCUACAGAGGGAAAUACUUUUCCCAACAAAAGUGCAAGCGGUUGCAGAAAGCCUAAAACCUGCAGAAGAGAAUCAUUCAUCUGGCUUUUCAGGGUCACUGGAUAAGCUGACAGACGGUGUGCUUUUCUGAGUGUUUUGCUCCAAUUUCCCCUCUCCCUUCCCAGCCCAUGGGGUGUAUUCACGUCACUGCCUCUCUCCUGGACUGUAAUGACUGAUGAGGAAAAGCCAACAGCAUCUCUGUCAGAGCUCCCUUCUGUUUGCUCACAAGCAAGGGUGAGGUGAAGAGCCACCCUGGAAAUGUUCUCCUCUGUUCUCAUCACCCAAUCAGUCUUUGAGAAUCAAGGCAUGGGUAUUUUGCUCUGUGAUCCCUCUGCUCCUUUAAUGGAGACAAAAAUGCAGAGGGCUUUCUAAUGGUGUGUUUUUGGGCUGCUCAAACUAAUGCCAAGAGGGAGAAGGGUCUUGAAGUCCAACUGGUCCCAUUUUCCCCUUGUUUCUGGAUAGCUUGAUUCUCUAUGGCCUUAGUCUGUUCAUGAUAUUGAAAUUGGAUGGGCUGUUCUCUGCAAAAGAUUCUCAGUCAUCUGAUGAAAAAAAUCUCCUAAUGCAAAACAUUUGUUGGUUUUUCUCUUUAUAUUAAUAGAGGAACAUCCAGGAGGAGUGGGCAGGGUGUGAAGAACCAGAACAAGGCAGGAGGAUGGAUGAAGCAAUGAGAUACCACAGCUCACUACCAGGCACAUUUGUGAUAGUAAAGCUCAGAAAAAGACAGUGACACUUAUUUAUUCUUUCCCAUAUCUCAUUCUAGAGCUAUUUUCUCUUCUCCUUUUGAAAAGCCUGCUGAGACAGGGCCUUUGUAUUCUUCUCCGUUGUGUCUUGAGGACUGUCAUUGGAGAGCACCGGUUCCUUUGGGUCAUAAACGUCUUCCUUUCUUUUGAAUAUUCCUGAAAUGAAAGAAUCUAUUUAUUUUACUGUAGUAGAAUACACCAGUGGUGUAUUAACAAAAAAAAAUUAAUAAUAAUAAUUAAAAAAUAGAA